GGGCUUCCCUCUGCUUGCAGACAGCCAGUGCAUGACAAGCAGCUUCCUCCCCAGCUCCUCCAGGCACGGUGUGGCCUCACAGUUGACUUCUGCGAAGUGGAGCAAGGUUCCUGUGUACCCAGGAAGUAUUUGUAAUCGGUUGGCUUCACAAAGGAGAUUUUUUGAUUCUGUCUCGCAGAUGUUGUUUUAAUGCACAUUUGACAGUUGAUUCUCUGCUUUAACAUCACGAUCUGGAAGCUGUUCUCUUUGGAUGUUUACAGCUGUUCUUGGGUUUAACAGCAGUGCUUCCUUCAAACCUUUCCACAGUCCAGGAUUCCUCCCUGAAUUUAUUGUGAGGAAAUGUUGCCUUUAAAAAAAUUAGGAUUCUUAGAGAUGGGUUAGUGAAAGGCAUUAUAUAAUAGCAUGCUAGCACUAGAAGCAGAUUCUGUGACCCAGAAGAUAGCUUCCAGUCCUGUGUUAGUGCUGCCUAUGAUACAAUGACUUAUUUUCAGUGCAACACCACUGAGCAUUGCAAGUUCUCUUCUGACAUGAAAAUCCCCUGAAUGGUGACAGGGAGCAGAUCACUCUUCUGCCAUUGCUAUCAUGUAUUUAUGCUCAGAUGCAACUCCAGUUCAGGAUCUGUGUCCUAUUGUGACCUCUCCUCCAAGGACAGGUAUAGAAAAUGAUCCCUGUCCUGAACUGCCAGGACAAUAGGAAAUGUUAGCAGAUAUUAACUGACAAUUUACAUCUCCUGAUUGUCCUUACAGCAUAAAAUUGAGUGUGGGUUUAUCAUGCAGCUGUGUUGCUGCUCCACUGCAACUGGCAGGUUAGUUUUUAAAUGUGAUUUAUAAAGUGGAUCUUGUUUCCAUGUUGGAAUGCUUUCACAUUACUGCAUGAAAUUUGAAUGUGUCUAAAUAAUGGGAAUGCAGGGGUGGUGGCGGCUGGGAGGCAGGGAUUAUAUGAAAGCUGUCAGGAUGCUCCGAGCACUGUGCUGCAUUAGCCAAGGGAUUUUUAUGGGCACAGAGGCACAAAGUAACCCCUCUAAUCCCUUUCUCACUGGCUUACAGACUCUGAAGAAGCUUAAUAAUUACAGAGGAAUGCAGUCAAAGUGUUUUUAAGGACAUAUGUGCAGAGGCUUAUUUUAGUCAUUUCCUAACGGCAAAUGCACUGGCGGAUUCUCAAGGAGAAAUCUGGGCACAAAUUUUCCCUUCUCUCAACCCCCCAACAAAAAGAUGAUUUAUGCUUGUAUCAGAAAGAGGCUUAACCAGUGUGGAGCUGAAGGAAUAUUUCCCAGCCUGUAGGAUUAUGGUUUUUCCACAGCCACACCACUCACCCUCUCCUUCUGCAUAUACAAAGCAUAUCCCUGUUCUGCUGAGCCUCCCAGAUGGGCUUUUUUUUUCAGUGAAAAGGCCAACAGAAAGCCUGGACGUUCCCUUUAAAAUAUUAUCCUAUCCCUCUGGAGAAGUAUUUCGCCUUCUCUGAAAUCACUGGUUCAGCUGAUGGUGACUCUGCUGCUUAUGUAUCGCUAUCUGAAAAGAUGCUUCCUGAGUAGAAGAAACAUGAAAGAUCAGGAAAGUGACUAACAGCACUAGAACCCUAAUGACGCCUAUCAAGUGCAAUAACUGAAAACACCGAGGAUUGUGGCAGGGAUAACAUAAUGGGCUGUUUAGCACAAUAACUGCCAGCUAUUGUUUUUCAGGCAAAUGACUGAGACAUUGGGAUGAUUACUCUAUAACCAGAGGAAAGCAAAAACACUAAACAGGAUGAGAAAGAGAUUGUAAAACACAGGAAAUAAAACCCUCAGACAAACUUCCUAUAGACAUGAAUUUCACCCCAAAACCAGUCAAGCAUCAAAUUUCCUCCUGAUGUAUGGCAAUAGAGUCAGCACAUUUGUACUGGGUUGGAUAUGUUCUUAUAUAUAUGUAAUUAGGUUUGAUCACAAGUUAGCUCUCUUUGGCAAUAAAAAAUUUACCUUUUGUUGCUUGAAUAUGAAACUUCAGCCCUACUCUGUACACCUUCAUGCUGUCCCAUUGGCUUUAUUGGUAGAAGGGACUAGAGAUGUUAUUUCAUGAUGAAAUGUAAGUAUUUGGAGCAGAAAAUCACCACUGAUGACAACUCCUCAUGCUGAAAUAAAUGUCAUCCAUAAACUCA